UGUGUACCUGACAUCUCACACUCCUGAAAAUCCAGGAAGACAUUUCUGGAGAUGCAGGAAUUUCAAGACCCCCAGGGACUGUGGUUUCUUCCUGUGGGAUGAGGAUGCAGGAGUCCAAAGUUCAGGAACACAACGUGUUGUUGAUAUGUUGAGGACAGAGUUGGAAGAUUCAAAGGACAAAUUGGAUGAAUUGAAGAAGAAAUUGGAGGAUACAAAGAUGAAAUUUGAGGACACAAAGAUGAAAUUGGAGGAAAGCAAGAACAAAAUUAGCAAGCUUCAAAGGAAGCUUGACUGUGAGCUGCUGAAUAAGAAAAUGGCCUUUGCAGCCAUACUGAUUGUUGUGUUAGCUUGGGUUGUUAGCUUUUGCUUCCUUUAUGGAAGAAAAAUGUAAUCUGAGAAGGGAAUGGAGGUUAUGUUGAUGUUUUGGAAGUUAUUUGGGUAGGUUGGUUGAGUUUAAGUAGAAUCAUGUAAUGGAGUUUUUAUUGUAACAAGUUCCUGAAUUCAGAAGAAAUGGCAAUGGAAUUGUUUCUUUUUUCAACA